UCUAGGAACAUAGAUUUAAAUUAUAAAACUGUAGGUCCAUUUUUUCCAGCAGCCUAUGGUGGAGUUAAUUCCGACAGAUUCAAUACUGGUGUAGAUUAUGCAGCAGGAGAUUUUUAUCCACGAUAUGAUUCAGCUCCAC